GAUGAACGCUGGCGGCAUGCCUAACACAUGCAAGUCGAACGCUCGCAAGAGAGUGGCGCACGGGUGAGUAACACGUGGGAAUCUGCCUGUCGGUUCGGGAUAACGUUUGGAAACGAACGCUAACACCGGAUACGCCCCCUGGUCGUGGAGAUCAGGGGGGAAAGUUUACGCCGACAGAGGAGCCCGCGUCCGAUUAGGUAGUUGGUGAGGUAAUGGCUCACCAAGGCGACGACGGAUAGCUGGCGUGAGAGCGCGACCAGCCACACUGGAACUGAGACACGGUCCAGACUCCUACGGGAGGCAGCAGUGAGGAAUUUUCCGCAAUGGGCGAAAGCCUGACGGAGCAAUACCGCGUGGAGGAUGACGGCCCUCGGGUUGUAAACUCCUUUUAAAUGGGAAGAUUAUGACGGUACCAUUUGAAUAAGCAUCGGCUAACUACGUGCCAGCCGCCGCCGUAA
rnacentral:rRNA from 1 species